GAUGAACGCUAGCUACAGGCUUAACACAUGCAAGUCGAGGGGCAGCAUGAACUUAGCUUGCUAAGUUUGAUGGCGACCGGCGCACGGGUGAGUAACACGUAUCCAACCUGCCGAUGACUCGGGGAUAGCCUUUCGAAAGAAAGAUUAAUACCCGAUGGCAUAGUUCUUCCGCAUGGUAGAACUAUUAAAGAAUUUCGGUCAUCGAUGGGGAUGCGUUCCAUUAGGUUGUUGGCGGGGUAACGGCCCACCAAGCCUUCGAUGGAUAGGGGUUCUGAGAGGAAGGUCCCCCACACUAGUACUGAGACACGGACCAGACUCCUACGGGAGGCAGCAGUGAGGAAUAUUGGUCAAAUGGGCGAGAGCCUGAACCAGCCAAAGUUCGCGUGAAGGAUGAAGGAUCUAUGGUUCGUAAAACUUCUUUUAANAGGGGAAUAAAGUUUUCCACGUGUGGAAUUUUGA
rnacentral:rRNA from 1 species